CAGGGCUUUUAAAUCUAGGGGUGGUGUAAAAUGCCAAAUAGCCCUAUCAGCCAUGCUGUGACAUUGUUUACAAAAAAAGAAGGCAUCAAAGUGCAUGAAGCACGCAGGUAUCACGUUUAUUUCCUCUAUAUUACUGAAAACUAAGCGCACCGAGGUCGACAACGGCGCAAGCGAUGAAGCUCGCAGUAGAUGCGAAAAAACAACUCCACCAUCCGGCCGGACAAACACCGGGGCAGUUCCAGCGCCAAACGAGGUGGACAGAAAGAACCACGAAAUCACAUCAUCAACAGAAGCAGCAGUAUAUUUAAUUUGACGGAUAAAACAUCACUCUUCCAGUUCCUCAGUCACGAUUGCGGCAACACCACAAGUCAAAACAUUCUGGAGGCCGGCGGAAGAGCCAACACCACAGCAGCAGCCACUACUUCAAUCAUCACCACAAGAAACGAUCCAGUAGCAGCGGCCAGUUCAGUACCAGCCACAAGGUGUCACAUUUUGUUUCUCCCACGGAGGAAGCGUUCUAGGUGCGAAAGUGGCUCAGGUGACGGAGUGACGGAAAAAGGCGGCGGAAACAGGGUGGAUACGAUGGUAACCCUCGUGUUUAAAUUAUGGACAGUACGUUCACACGGCCAUCACACAAGGCUCCGAAAACGAUUCUCCAAAAUCGGAAUCCAACUUGCAUCUUGUAAAGAGAAUUCCGAUGCCCUGCUUGUCGGAUCUCUUAACACAAAAUUUGGCGGCAGAGAUACGUUUCCCGGUUGUUCAACAAUCAGCAGGAACAUUUAAGCAGAGUGUCCAGCUAUCGGAACCGCUGGGAUGUAAUCUGUUCGGAAUUGGGUUUCUCCAGGAACAGAAGAGUUAUUUUCUUAGGAAACACUCGGCCAAGCUGUAUCUGAAGUGUUCGUAUGAUUCCUAAACAGAACUCGAAUAUUCGUUCCAUGAGGUCAUAAUUUUUACUGCUGGCCGCGGUGAAAAUGAGUUUUUUUUAUCACACAUCACACUUAAUCUUUUCUCCUGUGAACGGGACGAUCGAUUCCGUCCUGUAUUUUCAACAGCUGAAAUUACAGGACGAUUUCCGGAUAGAAAAAGUGUACAGGAAAACAACUGUCAAAUUUUCCUGUAGUCUCGAAACGGUGUUCUCCUAUGAUAUAAAUUUUGAAAAUUUAAGACGGGUUUCUCCCGAAAUUCGUAAGAAAUUUUAAAUUCCAUCCUCCUAGUCCCUUCCAAAUCAAUCAAAAAUUCUAGUUUCAAAGUUGAGUUUAAUAUAAAAAACGAAUAAUUUAUGCAUACAUACAUAUUUCACUUAUCAUUUAAACACUAAAGUAUACUGUGUAAAUCAUAGUCGACGGUCAAACUAGCCAAAGGUCGGUGGUGAUUUGGUUGAUGAUGAUUGAACCCUUGAUUACCAGUUGGAGAGCACCUCUACUCUGGCAUCCUGACCUGCGUUUGUCUAGUUUUUUUUUGCGGGAUUUUCAUCCCGUAGAAUGGGUUUCCCCUGACUGUCUGGCCGAUAGGUUUGCCGGUAAUGUUUGCUUCACUUUUCUGCAACACAUCGUCAAUCACCAUGCGAAAGCCGUAGGUUUAGCCUAAAUUGAAAAAUGUGCGUCAAAAUAAAUACUAUAAAAGCUUCGUUCAAUCGUUAGUAAAAAUCGGUUUCAACUGGUUUCUGUUAACUGAUAGAUGUUCAACGAGCCAAUGUUUUGGUCGAAACUAGUCAGGUCGUUGUUCAAUGGAGCAAGUUGAAACUAGUCGAAACCAAUCCAGCUCGGCAGCAGGAUUAGUUUCGACUUGGUAGAAGUCGGUCGAAGUCAAUUGGAAAGAGACAGGUGAUCAACUAUCAAUCCAUUUCUACUUGUUUCGACCCGUUUCUACUAGAGUUGAUUGAACAGACAUAAAAUAUUCUCAUCAAAACUUACGAAAUAUUUUUAAUCCACUCAAUCCGCACCCGCAUCGGUUUCCUCCUUCGAAGCAUGUUGCGCAGCGUGUAGAACUUAAACUCGAACCAGGUUGAUUUAAGGGACCGUAGAGCUACGAAUUUGUUUCGUGUAUGUGCUGUGCUGUCGAAAAAAACAUCAAUUUCAUCGAGACAUACAAAAAUAUCAUCUAAUUUUAGCAAGAAUGAUUCAGUCAACUUACUUCUAGCACCAUUUUCUCUUCUGAGGAAUAGCCCUUCGAUUUUAGAGGCCUCAGAAUAAGCUGUUGUGUUACAGUAGCGCAUCCGUCACACGUAAUUUCCUGGAUUUCUCGGUAGUGGUAGAACAAAUUCACAACUGGUAUAACCUAUCCCUGCUGCUGUUGUUUGCUGAUAAUUUCCUGGGUUCGAAUGAAUUCUAUUUGUACUCCUGUUGUUUUCGUUCCUGACACAUCCGAACUGACUGAAACUAAACAAGAAUGUAAAUUGAAGUUUGCACUGAUUAAACUUCAAUAAAAUCAAGUGAAGUAUGAUAGCACUUUUAUUUUACCUUUUGUAUGACUUUUUCUGUUACAGAUUAUCCGGCUGGAUGUUCGAGAAUUCGUAUAAAAUUUCCUUCGAAUAGCCAACUGGGGGUUACACUUCUGCUGCAGUUUGUUAUUGUUGUCAUUUAUCAACUGCUCCUAGGGCGCACUUGUUUGGGACUGUUGUUGAAACUACCAGGAAGCCGGUGGUGAUGCGCUUCCGAAUUCAAGCCCCUUUGCAUCCGGCACUUCGGUACUUCGGUUGUUUAUUUUUUGUCGCACAAAUAUUACCUUUGGAAAACCAAAAUUAAAUUAUUUUUAAUUUCUGCAGAAGCGAAUAUAAUAUUUAUGUACACAGCAGAAGUUCGUAUGGCGAUAUGAAAAAUUAUUAUUGGGCGAUGUGAAAAAUAAAACAGUGCCCGCCGAUUGGUCCGAUGUUCUGCUAGUUCGAUUCGUCCAGCUGGAAACGACCACUUGGGCCAUAUACUUACCUCGAUAUUAAUAUUCGUCGUCGACAGAUUACGAAGACGGCAUUACGGGGUAGAAAAAUAGCCACUGUUGUUUGUUGUAAAAAAACAAAAUGAUUUAAAUCGAGUUGAUGGUGACGUCAUAUAAAACACCACUACCAAAGCACGACUGUUUCGUCAUACUUUUCAUUGAUUUUCUUUGACACAAAACGUAAACAAUGUAAUAGGCUGUCAAAAUUUUGCCUUCCGUGCCCACUUCUUCACCGCGCUUACUUUGUGUCAAAGUUGUUCCACCCCUAGAUUUAACAGCCCUGCAAAAAUCGAAUCUGUCCAGGUGGAGGGGGGUAGGGGUUGCCAAAUGUCAACACUUGUGCACGGAGAGGGAGAAGGGGGUAAAAAUCUCAUUUUUCUGUCCACGUGGUAUCUGAACGGCCCCAAAGGCAAUUUAGCAUUCAAAGCUCAAGUCUUUUUUUACUUCUAAAAAGGAUCGAAAUAUGUUUAUCCAUCAAACAUGGAGACAAAUCGAUCUGCCAUAACUCGUAAGAUAAUAAAGUUAUGUUUGAAACAAGUUUGCAGGUAUUUAUUGAACAUAUCGGCUAUUUGGUGAACAUUAUCAAAAAAUGAUCAAACUAUAGCUAAAGUUUUAACGAAGUAAGACUGAAAAAAAUCUUUUUACUAAAUACCCAAAAAGCGAAAACAAAAUACCCCUAAAGCAAAUACAACUUGUCAGUUUAGCGCUACGUCGUUUGAUGACAGGGAUACGCAUGAAAUUAAAUUACAUGUUUCGCAUGAUCCCAAACUUUUCGCCGAUACACCAUACCGAGGGGUGAGCCCAAACUUUUCAUCGAUAACUUAAGUAGCUAUUUUAUCUGUUCGCACUUUGCAAAUUUCUAGCACAAAAUUUAAAAAACAUGUUUGUUUUGACAUUUAUGAAAAAAGAUUCAAAUGCGCGAUUUUUUGGAAAUUUUCCACUUUUAAGCUAAGUUUAAGUCAUAAUAAGUUAACAUAUAAGUUUUUCCAAAAACAUACGAAAAAGGCUUUGAUCGUCGACUUUAGAAUGAGAUCAAAAGAAAUGCCUUAUGUCAUAAGAUAACUAAGAUAUGACCAAACAAUUUUUUUUGUUUUUGAGGGGGUGAUCCCAAACUUAUGGUCGGUAGCGUAUACGAUCAGCAAAUUCUAAUUCAACGCUAUAAGCACCUCAACAAAAGUUAUUUGGUGAAAUUCGUUCCAGGGAAUUGCAAGUUACAGCUGUUUUAGUUUGGCGGACCGACUUUUUUCAAUUUUAAGCUAUUAAGUGAUUAAUAAAUUCUUUUAUUGAACAAACACCCCCACGGAGUGGAAAAAUUUGAGAAUUCGGAAGUACACCUACUAGGAAAAGUUCUUAGUUUUUGUAUGUAUGUAUGUAUGUAGAUAAUCCACCAUGGGUGCACGGAUUCACCGCAGUUUCGCCAACGUAUGCGCUAACUUGCAUCCUUUAGAUUUUUAGUUCGGCCAAUCUUCAAUGCAUAUCAUCACAUACCCGACACCAUGGCUUCGUGUGAACUGUCAUGAAAUGAAAAUGUUUCGUGUAGGUGUACGUCUUAUUUGUAGAACGAGCAAACAGUUUCGCAACCGUAUAAAAUUCAUAACAUAUUUAGAGUUAAGAAUCUACACACUAAGAUUGCAAUUAUACCGCUCGGGAUAAUGACUCUCCGAUUCACAGGAAAUAUGUUCAAAAUACACGAAGUUCGAAAGGAAAUCUUCUUGAAGCUCGGGACAUUACGCUUCUCCUGAAAUCCCUGAUGAAAUUUCUUCGUGUGUACAGGUGCACAAACAAUUUUCCUGAAAUUCAGGACAGUAAUCACCCAUAUCACGUGAGACUCGUUUGGCUUCGCGCGUUUUUUGCCAAUGUGGGCAAGCCUUUCAUCGUCGUGCGAAAACUGCAUAGGAAAUUUUUAAGGUUAUAACUAUAGUUUUUAAAGAGUUCGAGCGAAGAAGCAAGUUCAAAAUUAUUUACUGCUACAAAAUUCAACUAUUCUCACUAGCAAAUCCGAUAAUAUUCAAAUUAUUUUGGAAAUAAACUUCAUAAGCCAGAAUCGGCAAAGGUACCUGCAGUAGGCAUAAUCGUAUAAUUCAUUCAUAGUCCCGAAGAAAUAAUCAGUUCGUCAAAAUCAAACCGUCAACACAAUCAGGCCAGUCAUCAACAAAACACAGAUGUUGGCCCAGAAGGUAAAUAUUAAGAAAAGAAAAAUCCAGCAAAACAUUGAAAAAAUAAAACAAAUUUUAAUAUCUUAUUCUCUCGAUUAAGGUUCAGUUCUAGCGGCCAGGAAGGACACUAUCAUAGGACACAUUCAUGUUCCAAAAAAUAUUCAUAAAUCCGCAGGGAACCGGUGCACUCUGGUUAAAAAUUCUUAAUCUGAUCGAAAAGAACUUUGCAUACAACAAGUAUUGUCGGUACAACGAAUCAGCAAAGUAAAAUAGCUGCGCCCAUGAACAGGAAGCAUCUAAAUUGAAGUCCGAAGGCCAUUCGAUAAUUGUGGAAAUGGUGCUGCACGAAACCGGAGUUAUCCGUUUGUUUUGGUACAUUUUAUCGAAGUACAUAUUCUAUUACUGUUACCGUAGGACGAAAAAAAAACAGUUCCCGCUGGCUCAGUUACCCAGCGGUUCCCUCAAACGUUCAACAACACCAGGAAACAGUUCCAGGAGUAGAUGAUUCAACACAACAGCAACAGUUCAAUGCACUAAUCAACUUAAUGGAAGCCGCAAUCUAAAUACUGUUUGGAACAAAAAGCUACGGAAGAGCAUUUGGCAGCAGCAUCUGAGAGUGUUCAAAUCAGCAGCAGCAACUAUAAACAGCAGCAGAGAUCGGAACUGUCAGGCGGGUGUAAUUGUACGGCACAACCAUCGCCAAUGUCCAGGCAAUUAGGCUUUAUAUAAGUGUUCCUGUAAAAGGACUCGAAAGUUCCGGGACUUCAAAAAUCAAAUGGCAGAAAUUGUAACACAUGGAUAAAGCAAACUCGUACAUCUGCAGGUACUCAAAAAACCCGAUCAUGGUCGAGUUCUUGUUGCCGAGGACCUGUGUCAGCGCAAAGGUUUCAAAAGAUUGUUCAUCCCUCUCCAGAAAGUAGGAAGAUGAAAAUGAGGUCUAUCAACAUAAGUCCGAAAAUAAAAACCUUUACAAGACGAUUUUAACUACAUUACGAGGAGUUCAUAAAAUAGAAUUUUUCGUCAUGGAAUAAAAUAGCAUGUAACAACAACGCCUGCCGGACAAGCAGUCCUGCAAAGUCAGAAUGCCAGCCUAAGUGUUAUCCAUAUUUCGUCUGCAAACGAUAAAGUCGGUGGGACUUCAUCGCCGCUGGUGUUUUCGCAGGUUUUCUAGGCAGCAUCGUUCCGGAAAAUCAUUCUUGAGGACUUUCUAAGACAACCUUCCGAUUUUGAAAUUAAGUCAAGUGCAGUGAUUUUUGAAAUUCACUAUAGAGUGUUUUGUGUUCUAUGGUGUAAACAAAUGUUGUGAAAUAAAUGGUUUAUUUUAGAAAAAUUUUUUUUUGUAAAACACAGAUCAGCAAUAAAAAUUUGGGAUUCUAAACCAGGGGAAAUAAUUUCAGAGCUUUAUACUAAU